GGAAAAGUUCUCUGGCUGUUUGUGAUGAUAGGCAGAAUGUACUUUAAUACUGAGUUGAAUGAGAGGAAACCUCCAAGGGAAAAUUCCUGAGAAUUCCUUUUCUUAAGACUGAAGGAGUAAGGUAUUAGAAGUGCACCAGAUCUUCAGGGACUUUUGAUAAGAUUCUAUUAGCAGUCAAGAUAAAACUCCCACAAGAGAAGGGAUUGCAUUAUUUCACUGAACUUGAAGCCCCUCUAAAGACUGAGGACUUUUUUGAAGCUUUGUGACCAGGUAUUUGUCCAACACUUACAGGGAGGUGAUGUGAACAGCAUCUUAUGAUCUGGUUUAAGAUACUGGUUCCACGUCACACUCACUUUGAAGCUUUUUUUAAAAAAAAAUCAUCACACUGAAAGAAAGUAAAGCAGACUUUAAGCCUACUCCAGCAAUUAAAAAAAAACUUAUUGUUUUAGCUAGAGAUUGCUGUUGAAUAUGCUUUUUCCUCCUUCUCCUCUCCCCAGAUAAACCUUUGGAAAACAGUGUAAUUCUUUAUCAGAGAAGGGCUAAUUGAAGUCAGCACCUCAAUUGUUUCAGCUUAAAUAUGCAGCUCUUUGGACAGGAAACUUGAUUAUUAUAUUAGGAAAGGAAAAAAAUGGGAUACAAACAAACAAAAAAAGCUAUUUUUCAAUAUUUGGUGUGAACUACCAUUGUUGCAUGGUUCCUAACUCAACAGGAACUGCUGUCUUGCACAGUGGUGAAACCUCUCUGAUCAGGGCAGGUAGGAGGCAUCUUGGUACCAAGCAUAGCUUCUCAGCUCCUACUGAAUUCUGCUGAAUGAAAAUAGACAAACUCUACAUCAGUUCCGUGCAGGUUCAAAACUCAGCAAAAGCUAGAGGAAAGUAAGGCUGUACCUCAAACGAAAAAAGAAAGGCAGUGCUCUGUUUCUCAGAGGAAAAAUCUCUGCCUCGUAUAUAGUCAGCUCCUCUGCUUCUCUCCUGGCUUGUGCAAAGGACGGACGCAUCCUGCUCAGUUUGGACUCAAGUCGUCACUUAACAGCUGACUGGGAUGUGUUUUUCCCCUUAACUUUCUCCUGGACAAAAGGUCUUCUUGCUUACCAUUCUUGUGGACACACAGCAGUGGGGGAGGACAGAAAUAGGCAGAGCCCCUGGCUUUCAAAGGAACAAGAUCUAGGCAUAGGAAUUGUCUCUGUUCUCCAGGCAGGCUGCCAGCCUAGCUCCAAGAUUUCUCAGCUGCAGCAGUUUAGACUUUGUCAGGGAUCAGUGACUUCGGAGCUGGGUGCUGGCCAAACCACCCUAGGCAGCUCAUUGCACUAAUCCAAAACUGUAAUUGGGUGGUAGGAGGGGGCAGUGGGAGAACAUCUUAUCCCCACCACAGUCAUGAGUUUUUGUUAACUUAGGAUUAUAAGAAUAAUGAACAAACCCAGAAGCUUGUCUCCUUUAUUUAGUUAGUUUUGGGGCUGCAGCUAGCAAUCCAUUAUUGUCUGUGCAAUGUGUUCCCAGUCUAGCCUCUUAUCAAAGGUGCUUAGCUAUGCAGUGCACAUAAGGAUGCCCAUCAGUAUUGAUAUAUAGAUUCCCUGCACAUCUAUUGUGUUUUACAUGCCUUGCAAUUAGCUUUUGCUUUAUCUACUGCAUGCCUACCUCGCUGUAAGUGUGCCAGGAAAAAGAAAAGAGUCACACUGGGAGAUGGGGGAUGAAUAGGUCUGAAGAAUUACUGAGGGAAAGUAGAAAGCAAUUUGCACUCUGAUGAAAGCAAAGCAGGGCCAGAUCCUGCCAAAUACUGAUGCAGUGUGGAGCAGCUGUAGAUCUGUACUGCUCAGAAUGAAGCCUGCUGUGGUGAAGCAAAAUCAGUUCAGCAAGGUGAAGAGUCACUAUGUGCACAUUGGAGCAACGCUAUGAACUUUCAGAAGUGGUGCUGGCAUGCUACAGUGAUCGCAAGGCUAACAGAAGGAAAGAGACAUGAAAAAGGAAUGGAGAAGAUAGUAACCUAUCUUGAUGCUGUAAAAGUGAAUUCGGACCACAGCAGUUGGUAUCAGUGAAGGCAAAUAACCCACCAAAAUAGGCCUGAUCCAGGGUGUCACCAUCAGCUCCUUCACAGUCCCUGCAGAUUUCCUCUGUGGAUCCUACUCUUUCCACCAAAUACUGGAACACCCAUGUUUCCCCCAUAUUGGUUUCUUAUUGCAACUGUGGUCCUCAGGGCCUCUGCUGGCAGGUCUCCCAAGCAACCUCAGCCCCUCUUGAUUGGAGCAGCUUGCUGUUUGCUUGCUUGCAUGAAGGAGGACCUGGCAGAGGCAUGGAUGAAGAUAGGCACUUUCUG
rnacentral:lncRNA from 1 species